rnacentral:rRNA from 1 species
CUCAGGCGUUGUUGGGUAGGGGAGCGUUCUGUAAGCCUGUGAAGGUGGCCUGUGAGGGUUGCUGGAGGUAUCAGAAGUGCGAAUGCUGACAUAAGUAACGAUAAAGCGGGUGAAAAGCCCGCUCGCCGGAAGACCAAGGGUUCCUGUCCAACGUUAAUCGGGGCAGGGUGAGUCGACCCCUAAGGCGAGGCCGAAAGGCGUAGUCGAUGGGAAACGGGUUAAUAUUCCCGUACUUGGUGUUACUGCGAAGGGGGGACGGAGAAGGCUAUGUUGGCCGGGCGACGGUUGUCCCGGUUUAAGCGUGUAGGUGUGUGUUCCAGGUAAAUCCGGUUCACUUUAACACUGAGGCGUGACGACGAGGCACUACGGUGCUGAAGCAACAAAUGCCCUGCUUCCAGGAAAAGCCUCUAAGCAUCAGGUAACAUCAAAUCGUACCCCAAACCGACACAGGUGGUCAGGUAGAGAAUACCAAGGCGCUUGAGAGAACUCGGGUGAAGGAACUAGGCAAAAUGGUGCCGUAACUUCGGGAGAAGGCACGCUGACACGUAGGUGAAGUGAUUUACUCAUGGAGCUGAAGUCAGUCGAAGAUACCAGCUGGCUGCAACUGUUUAUUAAAAACACAGCACUGUGCAAACACGAAAGUGGACGUAUACGGUGUGACGCCUGCCCGGUGCCGGAAGGUUAAUUGAUGGGGUCAGCGCAAGCGAAGCUCCUGAUCGAAGCCCCGGUAAACGGCGGCCGUAACUAUAACGGUCCUAAGGUAGCGAAAUUCCUUGUCGGGUAAGUUCCGACCUGCACGAAUGGCGUAAUGAUGGCCAGGCUGUCUCCACCCGAGACUCAGUGAAAUUGAACUCGCUGUGAAGAUGCAGUGUACCCGCGGCAAGACGGAAAGACCCCGUGAACCUUUACUAUAGCUUGACACUGAACAUUGAGCCUUGAUGUGUAGGAUAGGUGGGAGGCUUUGAAGCGUGGACGCCAGUCUGCGUGGAGCCGACCUUGAAAUACCACCCUUUAAUGUUU